CAUCAACCUCCUAAGCACAGUUGGAGUUCCCAAAAAGCCAAUUAAAUCAUGAAAACGUGAAACUAGAUACUACAUCGGAAAAAGGCAAAAACAGUAGAAAAACCUGAACAAGAUGAUCCUCAUCCAGUGAAGAUAAACUCACUAAAUCUGGAAACCGCCUCGAAAGUUUAGAUAUAAGUCCAUAUGCAGUGAGAUCAUCACUUGACCUCCCGUUCCCAACAUAAGUGUAGUUUAGCUGAAGACGUUCUGUUUCUUGUUGUUGAACAGGUCAGCGCCUGACAUCUGAUUUUCCUUGGUCAAACAUUCGUUCCUCCGUAG
rnacentral:misc_RNA from 1 species